rnacentral:lncRNA from 1 species
GCCUGGUGUUAGCAGCACAACGCAACAAUGCUGUUAUUUGUUUCGACUCCCUGCUGGACAAUGUUUGCUGGCAGAACCAAGCUGUAGUGGAUUGUAUGCAGCAUCUUCUGUAUCCCCAAACUGAGAAGCAGGCUGAAAAGCUGCUAAGCUGCCUUUUUGACUCCUUGACAUCUGACAGCAUCCACCGGAUUGAGACAUAACUGGAAUUUAAUCUGCCUGAGCAGCAAACCUGCAGAGCCCAGGGUGGGUAGCAGUGAAGAAGUCUAGAUAUUUAGUGGAUAAAACAGCUUUGUCUUCUGUUUGUUAU